ACAAUGCACUUGUGCGCUGUGCGCUUUUGGCUGUGCGUAAGAGGAGGAGGAGCUGGCAGCAGAUACACGUUCUGGGUGUGUCUCAGUGUGACGGUCAGGCAGUAGGACGGAUCUACUCUCUGUCUUCAUGGCUGUUCUCUGGGUUUUGAUGGACCUUUCUUUUCUCUAAACAUUAGACGCGGUUUUGCGAUCUGCCUCAUAAACUCACACACACCGUGAGUCCUUGUGCACCACGCAGAUGACGCCAUCCGCCCUGUCGGAGGUAAAAAGUUUUCUGCCUCAGUGCGGAGGGAGGAGUUUAAUCAGUCGCGCAUGACGCCAAAGCGAAACUAAAACAUUUUAUAGAGGAGUCCAGAUGUUCCUCAUAUUGUUCCUGAUCUUCUGCUGCCUCUCCUCCUCCUCCUCUCAGGAUGAAGAUGAUCUCCCUGCUGCUCCUCAUCCUCGGCUCUUCUUCCACUUCCAGGACCCGAUCCUUACCUGCUCUGUUUGUUUGCAAUAAACUCAUUUAUUUAUACAUCA